AUAUUAGAAAGAAUACCAAUUGCGAAGGCAGCUUUCUGGAUCAUUACUGACACUGAGGAACGAAAGCAUGGGUAGCGAAGAGGAUUAGAUACCCUCGUAGUCCAUGCCGUAAACGAUGUGUGUUAGACGUUGGAAAUUUAUUUUCAGUGUCGCAGCGAAAGCGAUAAACACACCGCCUGGGGAGUACGACCGCAAGGUUAAAACUCAAAUGAAUUGACGGGGACCCGCACAAGUAGUGGAGCAUGUGGUUUAAUUCGAAGAUACGCGCAGAACCUUACCAACACUUGACAUGUUCGUCGCGACUCUAAGAGAUUAGAGUUUUCGGUUCGGCCGGACGAAACACAGGUGCUGCAUGGCUGUCGUCAGCUCGUGUCGUGAGAUGUUGGGUUAAGUCCCGCAACGAGCGCAACCCUCACUUUUAGUUGCCAUCAUUAAGUUGGGCACUCUGAAAGAACUGCCAGUGAUAAGCUGGAGGAAGGUGGGGAUGACGUCAAGUCCUCAUGGCCCUUACGUGUUGGGCUACACACGUGCUACAAUGGUAUCUACAACAGGAAGCAAGACUGCGAAGUUAAGCAAAUCCCUAAAAGAUACCUCAGUUCGGAUUGCACUCUGCAACUCGAGUGCAUGAAGCUGGAAUUACUAGUAAUCGUGGAUCAGCGUGCCACGGUGAAUGCGUUCCCGGGUCUUGUACACACCGCCCGUCACACCAUGGGAGUUGGUUCUACCUUAAGGCAAGGUUUCAAACCCUUGACCACGGUAUAGUCAGCGACUGGGGUGAAGUCGUAACAAGGUAGCCGUAGGGGAACCUGCGGCUG
rnacentral:rRNA from 1 species